UCCUACGGGGGGCAGCAGUGAGGAAUAUUGGUCAAUGGUCGGGAGACUGAACCAGCCAAGCCGCGUGAGAGAUGAAGGUACAGAGUAUCGUAAACCUCUUUUGUCAGGGAACAAAGGCGGGGACGUGUCCCCGGAUGAGUGUACCUGAAGAAAAAGCAUCGGCUAACUCCGUGCCAGCAGCCGCGGUAAUACGGAGGAUGCGAGCGUUAUCCGGAUUUAUUGGGUUUAAAGGGUGCGCAGGCGGUCUGUUAAGUCAGCGGUCAAAGCCCGGGGCUCAACCCCGGCCCGCCGUUGAAACUGGCAGG
rnacentral:rRNA from 1 species